CUCUUCUCAAACUGAACUUUCAUAUCACUCUCUUCACUUAGGAGAAAAAUCCCUUGAAUCUCUUACCACCAAGAAAUCUAAAAUAGAACUUUCAAGCUCUCUGGAGUCAGACCUCAAAUUAUGGGAUACCUCAAAUACGGAUUUCUUCAUUGCUCUUAAAGACAAGCCCUGCUCAUGGCAGAGUAGACGACCUUAACAACAUGCAAGCCAUCAAUUAUAAGAAAAAUGAUCUAUUUGUCUUUCAACUAUAGUCAAAAUUCCUCUCUGUACCCCAUCCUAAAGUCUAUAAACCCUUAUUGAGAACAUUUUAUGCAAAUCUUUGCUCUUGCAAGCCUGAUCAGUUAGAAUCCGUAGUUUUAGGUAAACACAUUGUUCUUGAUUCUGCAUGUUCGACUCAAUUUUUCAAUGUAAGUGCUUAGGGUUUCCCGCACUUUUCAAGGAAUACUUGGCUAAUGACUUUGAAAUUUUUUUAGAUCAAGCAAAAUGUUAUUAUGCUGAGUGUACAUCUAAUUUCCUCCCUAACCAGUUAGGUCCCAGUGAUUUUAGCUUUGAAAGUCGAGUUCUAGCCUACAUUGUUGCUACCACUCUUCUCCCUUGCACUGUAUCAUUCUCCACAUUCUCUCAAUAAGAUACCUUUCUUAUUCACUGUCUCAUGACCAAACUCAAGAUUAAGUUAUCCUCUUAGGUCAUAAAUUACAUGAUAGAAAGUGCUGAUAAUCCCAACAGUUUUCCCUAUGGUAUGGCAACCACUCAUAUCUUUGAAGCCCACAAGAUCUCUAUCUCGGAAUACCUUUUUGUCUUUGUUUCAAAAUCCUACAAUUCUAGAGAGUUUUUUAGUAUGGUUAUGUGUGUGUAAAGGGCUCUUGGGUGAAGAAACAUGAUGGUGAAGUCAAGAAUGUUCAACCUGAUUCCAAGACCAAAGCCUCUAUUUCCCAUCACAGUGUAAGUGAUCCUGAUCUUUCUUUGCGAAAUUUAAUGCCAUUGAUAACAAGCACACCAUCAUUCAUGAUCUUCUUGUUUCCACUCAGUCCAUUGUUGGGGACAUUCAUACAAUCUCCAAAGAGACAGGGUCGGAUGUUUUAACGAUGAGGGUCAAAAUUCUCUGACUUGGAGAAAAUGCAGUCAAAGUAUCAAGGAAGUUCUUGACAGGAUCGAUGGAUAUACUGUUUCAGCCACAUGCCAGCUUUGACUGACUGAAGAAGUCAAUUUGCAAUACUCUUACUUAUUUCUUGCGUCGCUAACUAUGAAAAUCUCAAAUUAGUUUUUUAUGUUUUUCUAUUUUAGACUGGAUAACUAGUCGAUGGAUUAUAUUUUUCUCUUUUUUGCCAUAACUCUGCAUGCCUAUAAUGCCAUCAUUAUCAUCUAUAAUACUUUCCUAGUGUGAGUUAUUUACAUUUCUCAUUUUAGUCUGUGUUUAUCCCCUCUUUAUUGAUGUCAAAAAAAGAGGAGAAAGAAUUAUACUUUCAUGUACAGGAAGCACAUUACAAGAGUCGACAAAUGGAAAGGCUAAAGUACAUGAAGCACGUUGCAAGAGUCGAUUGAAGGAAAGACAAAAAUAUGCAGCACUUGUUUAGGGGGAAUCGAAUGUAUAAUGCAAACUCAUUGAGGUGGCGUCAACCGCACUCAUUGAGGGGAAGUCGACUACAAGAACUAUAGGGAAGUCAACUAUUAUUGAUAUAUUAUUUUUUUCAUCGUCAAAUAGUGGGAGAGUAUUAAUUAUAAGUUUCAAUGAUAAAAGAUAAUAUAUUAAAUUUGGUUUAGGGUCUCAAGGAAUAUAUUAAAGGGAUUCAAGAAGCAAUACCAGUCAGUAGUAGAUCAAUGGGAAGAAUCAAUGAUCAGCAACGCAAAAGGAAGAAGUAGUGGAGAUCCGGUUAGAACAGUCACUCAGUGAUUGAUGGAAGCUAACAAGAAAAGGAAUCAGCGAUGGAAAAGAAAGGAACAAUAGAUACCUAGCAAGGAUAAUCAAUCAGAGAUUGAUGGAAGCUAUUACUGGAAGGUCCCAAAUCAACGGGAAACGCAAUCACUGAAAAUCAAUGAAGCUAAUACUCAAGGGAUCCAGCGGAUAUGACUCAAGUACUACAGAGAUACAUCCACCCUAUGGAAAGCUCGUCAAGAUAAUAAAUCAAGGAAGAAUAAUGAGAACUUAACCUUAUUCUUGGAAAGAAUCAAUAUAUGAUUCGUUUGAAGGAUCAACUACCAUAUGUUGGUAAUCUCUCAAGAUUCAUGAAGGUCUCAUGGAAAGUAUAUAUACUAACGCUCCAGGCAUGAAAAGGACAUACUUUGAUUGAACAAUCUAGCCACUUUUUGUUCUACUCCAAACAAGCAUUGCAAUUCCUUUAGAUUUGUUGUGUAAUUAACGAGAGAAGAAAAAGAGAUAAAAACUUGUGAGGCAUUGUAUCACAAAGAAAAGAGACAUAGAGACUACGUUGUUGCUGUAAAGCUACACCAUUCAUUCUGUACUAAAGAAAUAUUGAUCACUGAAACAGAACACACUUGCAACCCAAGGGGACUGGAUUAAAUUCAUAUUGAAUCCAAACAAAUAUAAAAAUUGUGGUUUCUUUAUUUGUUACAUUUUAUUUCUGCAUUUAUUAUCUUGUUCUUAUUUCUAGUCGACUAAUUGGUAAACUAGUUAACUACUUAUAAAAGUUUUUAAAAAUAAACAAUUCACCCCAACCCCCUUGUAGAUUAAGUUAAUUUGACUGAAAUCAGAGAACUACCUGGAGUAUCACAUGGCUAAGCCGUCGAGGAUGAUGUUGUUCAAUUGAAAUUUGGCUGCCGCUAGCAGUUGCUAUGCUUGUGUCAAUUUUUUUGUUCUCGAUCGCCAUUGUUAAUGAGGCACUCAAGGUCAGAUGAAGAAGCAGAAAACGAAGAGGAAACUGCUAAUUCGAAUUAGCCCUAACUUCGAAGAUAUCGAAGAAUUUAUCAGAACACAAACAUUGGGGCAUCUUAAAUCUAGGUAAUUGUUAACGAAGCGUGAAUCAUAAACACGAGCUCUAAUACCAUGAUGAAAUCCUAGAUCUAAUCUGAGCUGUUAAGCUGAGAAUGAAGGAGAAGUGGUUACACGCUAAUGGAGAAGAAAAAAUUCCUUCAUUUUCUAAUACAGACACUGUACACUAACCGUGUAUAUAUACAAACAAGUUAGCUACUAACACACCUACUUAACAAACUAAACCUU
rnacentral:lncRNA from 1 species